rnacentral:lncRNA from 1 species
UGGGAUAUUGACAUCUGCAUGUUACUAUUCUUUUUUCCUUCCUGUUAACGGAGGAUCAACAUUAUAUCUUACAUACAUUUUAUUCCAGGACUAUGCCGUGUCGUGGUGACUGCUGCAUGUGCAACCUACUCGUAUGCAUUCUCUACUUACAGUUUAGUCUUUUAUAGCUUGUUCAUGUUCCUAUUGGCAAUGUACUUGAUUUUACUGAACAUGUAUAGUUGUUGGAUUACAGAAGUUAUAGCCUAUAAUAGUGAAUCAUAAUGCAACUCUUACUGUCAUGAGCAUGCCAUCUUCAUCUCAUCAUCAUUUGCAUUCAUGCGGAAAUAUUUACCAUAUGCUUUGUUUCCAUUUUUUCAUACAGUGGCUGAAGAUUGUUGACGCAGAUGGAUUUGUCGCUCCUUUCUAUUGAAGUUCCAACUUAUCAUCGUCAAGAUCAAAACUAAUGGCUUAUUUGCAUUGUCUCUUGUUUGGUUAAUGUUUUCUUAAAAAGACUGGUGUAAUGUUUGAGUGUCGAUGUCAUGGUGUUAUGCGCCAUUAGUUUGUUGAUCGUCGACGCCAAGAUUAAAACUAACGGCUUGUUUGCCGGGCGUCUUAUUUAGUUCUAUGUUUGGUUAAUGCUUCCUUGGAAAGACUCAAGCAAUGUUCAACUGUUUUGUCAUGGUGCUAUGCGCAGCUGUUUCUUGCUUGUUUAUUAAUUAGUUUUCCUUGGUCUGUUCUAUUGACAUGAAUGGAAUAUAUGUAUACAUAAUUAUUGAAAUUGCUU